GGAGAGACUGAACAAAUGCACAUCUACUUCCCGUGGAACUGCCAGAAAUUGCCCCCUUGACUGGAAGGAAUAGCUGGAUGUGCAUUGUGGCAUGGCAGCAGGUCAUGCUGUUGUCCCCAAACAAGCCCUUAGUGGUGAAUUUUGGGUUUUCUUGAAGUUAAAUGUUAAGCAAAUUUUCACUUUAAACCUAAAUGUUAUGGAGGAAGUUGUGUAAAAAGCUGCGGCAUUGAAAAAAUAGCCUGGGAUGCUUCAGGGGAGCGGUUGGCCUUGUCUUUCAGAGUCGGUGAAGAGAUGUACAGGGGUCUCAUUGCAGUAUAUGACAUCAAGAGGACACCUCUUAUUUCACCUUCUUUGGUUGGAUUCAUUAGAGGUCCUGGAGAGUACCCAAAGCCACUAGCAUUUUCCUUUCACAGUAAAUUCAAACAAGGACCUUUGCUUUCUGUGUGCUGGAGUAGCGGCUUAUGCUGUACAUAUCCCCUCAUUUUUCGCUCACAUAUACUUCCUUGAAUGAAGAGUCUUGCAAGUGGUGCUGAAGCUAGAUGAAAGAAGAUAACUGGUAUAUCUGAGUAUAGCUCAAAAGCCAUGGGACUUGAGCAUGUAAAGGCUAUUCCGAGAAUCUCAGCUUCCAGCUCUGUUUAACUUCAUUGUCUGUUCUUGCGAUGAUUUGGAGAGGAAUGUGGUUUUCUUUCUGAUCGGAUAGUAUUUCUAUGGACUUCUGUAUUUUCCAUCUACUUGUUCAAGCAGGUCUCUUGAAUUAUUGAACUAUCUGAUGAUGGCUUCAGGAGGGAGAUAGAGCCAAUUGUGUUUGGUAAGUUUAAUAUAUAAAGGUGUAGUUCAAUAUGUAAGAACACUGGAUGCUCGUUCAUCUCGUUGUCUAAUUUUACAUGGAUAUUUUCAAUAUAAAAACGUAUAGUUUCUUUUA